rnacentral:rRNA from 1 species
GACGAACGCUGGCGGCGUGCCUAAUACAUGCAAGUAGGACGCAGUUGCGAACGGGUGAGUAACGCGUAGGUAACUACCUAUUAGAGGGGGCUAACUAUUGUAAACGAUAGCUAAUACCGCAUACUAGUAGAUGGACCUGCGUUGUAUUAGGUAGUCGGUAGGGUAAUGGCCUACCUAGGCAACGAUACAUAGCCGACCUGGGGGGGUUAGCUGCCCCACUUGGACUGAGACACGGCCCAGACUCCCACGGGAGGCAGCAGUAGGGAAUCUUCGGAAAUGGGGGGAACGCUGACCGAGCAACGCCGCGGGAGUGAAGAAGGGUUUUGGAUCGUAAAGCUCUGUUGUGAAGGAAGCGGUACUUAACCAGAAAGGGACGGCUAACUACGUGCCAGCAGCCGCGGUAAUAC